rnacentral:rRNA from 1 species
AUGUGGCUUGUGGUUCAUAGAAGAUGCCUCACGGUGGGCAACCUGGAGCACAGGAACUGGCCCUCCAACGGCUCCUGCCCGUUAUUGGCAUCUCAACCAGAGGAUUGCACACACUUGUUUGUGCAUUGCCUUUUCACACAGCAUCUGUGGCUUCGUUUCAAAUCAUGGACUGGGGUAGAUUUCCAGGGGCCGGAUGACAGAUUCACCUCAACGGAAGAUUGGUGGAUUCAGGCCAGGGCGUGGAUUCCCAAACCUGCAAGGAGGAAUUUUGACACAGUGGUGAUCUUGUUACAUUGGAGGGUAUGGAAGGAAAGGAACUCGAGGAUCUUCGAUCAGCUGGCCGGCUCGUGCAACAGGGUGCUGGACUUGUGCAAAGAGGACAUAGCCAUAUGGAGAGCAGCCGGAUGCAUUGCUGAAUUACCGGACUAG